rnacentral:rRNA from 1 species
CCUACGGGAGGCAGCAGUGGGGAAUAUUGCACAAUGGGCGCAACCCUGAUGCAGCAACGCCGCGUGAGUGAUGAAGUCUUUCGGUAUUUUAAGCUCUAUCAGCAGGGAAGAAAAUUACGGUACCUGUGUCUGAUUCUCCGGCUAACUACGGUCCAGCAGCCGCGGUUAUACGGAGGGGGCCCGAGUUAUCCGGAGUUACUGGGUGUAAAGGGAGCGUAGACGGUGAGACAAGUCUGAAGUGAAAGCCCGGGGCUCAACCGCAGGACUGCUUUGGAAACUGCCUGACUGGAGUGCUGGAGAGGUAAGCGGAAUUCCUGGUGUAGCGGUGAAAUGCGUAGAUAUUAGGAAGAACACCAAUGGCGAAGGCGGCUUGCUGGACAGUAACUGACGUUGAGGCUCGAAAGCGUGGGGAGCAAACAGGAUUAGAUACCCCAGUAGUC